rnacentral:rRNA from 1 species
UACAGAGGGUGCAAGCGUUAAUCGGAAUUACUGGGCGUAAAGCGUGCGUAGACGGUUAUGUAAGUCGGGUGUGAAAGCCCCGGGCUCAACCUGGGAAUGCCAUUCGAGACUGCAUAGCUAGGGUGCGGAAGAGGGAAGCGGAAUUUCAGGUGUAGCGGUGAAAUGCGUAGAUAUCUGAAGGAGCACCAGUGGCGAAAGCGGCUUCCUGGUCCAGCACCGACGUUCAGGCACGAAAGCGUGGGGAGCAAACAGG